rnacentral:misc_RNA from 1 species
GAGACGUUAAACUAGCUAAAUGAGCACAAGCUGACUACCCACCAUAAAUGUGUUGUAAUAAUUAUGACCACAUAGCUAUCUAAAGUCUAUGCGUGUUAGGUGUUCAGUAAUCACCAUUUCAAACGAGUCAGGAUAAUCAUGACAUUUUUGAAACCUAUUCUAGAUAUUAUAGGCCUCUUUUACACCCUCCAAUAUGUGGCGAUACCGCAUUGGAUAGAAGUUAGUAUAUAAACAUUAACUGAGGUAAGUACUGGCAUUCUUUGAACCCAUAUUCCCUAUAUUCAUUCUCUCUAUCUUCUUACACGUUCCCUUUUCCAGGUACUAACUUAAGCCUCGAAGUGCCAAGUGAAAGAGGCCCCUUGGCCCUCUGACCCUAUGUUGUUUUGCAAGUGAGUAGUCGGUGGAGGUCCGAGUAGUCGUAUGAAUACCCAGAGAAGUCAUAUUCCAAGCAAGAGUGCCCAUAUACUCCUUAACCAUACUUAUAGACUUAGAUGCAUCUCAUCCACGUGUCAUGCGUCCCAAAUAUCACCCAUAUCACUUGUUAUCAAGCUGUUGUAUGUGGGAUAGAGAAUUCUACAUUGUUUGAGCUUGCAAAACUAGAGAACUGGUCUUAGAAUGGUUGGAAUGACAAGUUCAUUCAGCCAUUGUAGUUUAAUAUAAAUAUUACAAACUCUAGUUGGUUGCUUGCUUCUAUAGAAAGAUAUUAUCUAUGAACUCAUGAAUUACAAUGGGCUAAAAGGUUGGUAGUUAUUUUGUUAUGUUUACCAUGUAGUUCUUCCAAAAGUUAAAAAAAGAAAUAGCAUCUGGAUUCUGGAUCUAAUUUGAUGCCUGUAUCCUAUUUGAGUUUUACAUUUUUGAAUCUUUUUCUUUGUUCUUGAUGAAUUCAGAUCAUCAACAGCUGAGGGCAC